rnacentral:rRNA from 1 species
CCUACGGGGUGCAGCAGUGAGGAAUAUUGGUCAAUGGACGAGAGUCUGAACCAGCCAAGUAGCGUGAAGGAUGACUGCCCUAUGGGUUGUAAACUUCUUUUAUAUGGGAAUAAAAUGUUCCACGUGUGGGAUUUUGUAUGUACCAUAUGAAUAAGGAUCGGCUAACUCCGUGCCAGCAGCCGCGGUAAUACGGAGGAUCCGAGCGUUAUCCGGAUUUAUUGGGUUUAAAGGGAGCGUAGGUGGAUUGUUAAGUCAGUUGUGAAAGUUUGCGGCUCAACCGUAAAAUUGCAGUUGAAACUGGCAGUCUUGAGUACAGUAGAGGUGGGCGGAAUUCGUGGUGGAGCGGUGAAAUGCUUAGAUAGCACGAAGAACUCCGAUUGCGAAGGCAGUUCACUGGACUGCAACUGACACUGAGGCUCGAAAGUGUGGGUAUCAAACAGGAUUAGAUACCCUGGUAGUC